GGUUCUAUAGUGUAGCGGUUAUCACAUAGGACUCUGAAUCCUGUAACCCGAGUUCAAAUCUCGGUAGAACCU
rfam:Stentor coeruleus isolate WM001 SteCoe_contig_107, whole genome shotgun sequence.